GGCUUGACAAGAUGCUGACUUUCUUUUUUCCUGAUUAAAUUAGUCAAAGAAUAAAAAAAUUCUUAUUUUUUAGAAAGACGAUAAGACCCUAAAACCUUAUAUUAACAUUUAUAUUUACUGGGGUGGUAAUUUUUAACUCAAAAUUUAUACAAACAUAUUGAAUGAAUUUUCCUACUUUAAAAAAAACAAAAAGGUACUUUAGGGAUAACAGCAUAAUUUUUAUUUAGAGUCCUUAUCGACAUAAAAGAUUAUGACCUCGAUGUUGAAUUGAUUUUACUCCCUGGAGCAGCCUCUUUUAAAGUAGGUCUGUUCGACCUUUAAACAAUCACAUGAUCUG
rnacentral:rRNA from 1 species